AUGGAGCAAAUUUCAAAAGGUUUAGAGGUGGAUGUUUCUGAUCAGAGAAAAGGAAACUCUGGAAUAAAGCCAAAGAACAUCAAUUUAGAUCAACCAUACAUCCCACUAAACAAGAGUUCCACUAUCAGAUCUCUAGCUUGGCAAAUGGGAUGUAGCCCUACCACACUGCAUAGAAAGUUCAAGCUGAAUUUGAUAAAGAGGCACACAAACUGUGUGAAGCCAGCUCAAAAGGAAAAGAAUAAGAAGGCUAGGAUGUAA
rnacentral:rRNA from 1 species